UAUAAGGGAUUUUGAGUUUUUGCUUGCAACGUUUGACCACUCGUCUUAUUCAAAUUUUUUUGAAAUUAUUAUUUAUUUUAUUUGUGACUUACUUUAUUAUCUACAAUACUUUAAGCAUAACUUUUCGUUUUUUAUAUUUGCAAAAAAAAAUUGAAUAAGACGAGUGGUCAAAUGUUGUAAACAAAAACUCAAAAUCCCUUAUA
rnacentral:pre_miRNA from 1 species